rnacentral:rRNA from 1 species
AAGUCGUAACAAGGUUUCCGUAGGUGAACCUGCGGAAGGAUCAUUAUUGAAAUAAACCUGAUGGGUUGUUGCUGGUUCUCUAGGGAGCAUGUGCACACCUUGUCAUCUUUAUAUCUCCACCUGUGCACCUUUUGUAGACCUUUCAGGUCUAUGUUGCUUCAUUUACCCCAAUGUAUGUUAAUAGAAUGUUGUGCCUAUAUAAUAUAUACAACUUUCAGCAACGGAUCUCUUGGCUCUCGCAUCGAUGAAGAACGCAGCGAAAUGCGAUAAGUAAUGUGAAUUGCAGAAUUCAGUGAAUCAUCGAAUCUUUGAACGCACCUUGCGCUCCUUGGUAUUCCGAGGAGCAUGCCUGUUUGAGUGUCAUUAAUAUAUCAACCUUCUCUUUUUGAGUGGUUUGGAUGUGGGGGUUUGCUGGCCUCUUAAAAGGUCUUGGCUCUCCUGAAAUACAUUAGCAGAACAACCCUGUUCAUUGGUGUGAUAACUAUCUACGCUAUUGAAUGUGAAGGGCAGUUUGGCUUUCUAACAGUCCUUGGACAAGCUCAUCAUUAAUGUGACCUCAAAUCAGGUAGGACUACCCGCUGAACUUAA